CAGCAGAUGGGGCCUUACGGUUUUUCGUAUUCCCCACUUGGAAAAAAAAAUACGGACCGCAGACAGAGGACUUAACAAAGAGGCGUCGGGCUGCAUGGGUCGCUGCUGUAAGAAGGAAAGACAUCACGUUUCAUAAAAUAUCUCCUCAUGCUCGUGUUUGCUCUCGGCAUUUUCAAAAAGGUCAACCCGCAUAUGAGAUGAUGGAGACUGACCCAGACUGGGCUCCAUCCCUGCAUCUGGGCCACACUGACAUCAAACCAACAGACACAGACCGCUCUUUAAGACGUGGUUAUCGGGAACAGCUGAAAAAGAAUGCCCUGCAAGCAACUGAAACGGGGCUCCAUCGGGCUGAUGAAAUCCUUGAGCAACAGGAUGAAGUAACACAUGAGGCGACAGAGAACCCUAACCAGCAACAGACUGACACGCAGAAGGCUGCUGAAAACGUUGGCCGGCCAAACACCAAGGAUGACACAGAAGGUGGUCGUCAGGAAGGACAGACAGAAUGUAACCUGUGUGUGCUCAGGUGUGCAGAGAUGAACCG